ensembl:lincRNA
AGUCAGAUCUGUGUUUAUGAAGGCAUCUGAGGCAGUGGAUUCAAGAAUGGACACGGUGGUAUCCAGCCUAUGGGAGACCAGGUAGAAAGUAGCUGAUUCUACUGAGAGAGAAAGAAAAGGAAAAAUAACUUCACUCCUUCACCUGCUGAUGGCAAGACUGGGCUCCAGGAACCCAGAAUACCAUCAUCUUCAAAAUCCUCAUUCAGGUAAAAAGCCAUCCUGUUUGAGACAGCACUUUGAGAACCAUGGAGAGCUCUACGCACAUAUACACACACAGUUAGCAAAGACGAGGCAUCAGAGACGCUGAGUGAACACACAGGCGGACUCCAGCCUGUAGCCCGCUCUCUCUGUGUUGAUCUCAGUUGCAAACACGCUCAGUGCAGGACCACAAGCUCCCGUGCAUCAGUCCAGCCACCGGGCCCACCAUGGACACUCAUCUGCCUUGCUGUUCACAGCUCCCUUGUACACUGAGGCCAAGCCUGUCCAUCUGGGGGUGCCACCCAUUGGCAAAGCGUUUCCUGGGCACCAUCCAGUUCUCCACCCACACGGAAGCACCCAAGGCAGUGAGCGGUUGCCACGGUCUUGCUUCUCGGCAGGUCCAGGUGUGUGUGUUUGGUUCUUCGCAUGUCUUUACCCCUCCCAUCAUCACAGACCUUGCUGGACUGUCUGGAUUGUGGGCCCUGGUGGAGAAAUAAGCACUGUGAGCUGAACUGGCAUGUCCAAUGUGCAGUUGCAGGCCAUGCUGGUCUUCACUUGGGUUCUCAUCAUUGCUACAGCGGCCAGAGCUGAUUGACAGAAGAGGCAGUAAAAAUGAGUAUCCAGAAAGUCAAGGCCUGAUUUAAGCCCUGUGCUUAGAACAAAUGUUCUCUAACUUAUCCUACUGCUGUGCUGUGCUCAGUCGUGUCUGACUCUUUGCGACCCCAUAGACUGUAGCCCGACAGGCUCCUCGGUCCACGGGAUUCUCCAGGCAAGAACACUGGAGUCGGAUGCCAUUUCCUUCUCCAGGGGGUCUCCCCGACCCAGGGAUUAACCCAUGACUCUUACAUCUCGUGCACUGGCGGGAGGAUUCUUUACCACUAGUGUCACCUGGGAAGCCCCAAUUUACCCUGCUAACAAGAUGACGUUUACAGUUUUCAGUUUCAGGGAUGAAAGGGAGGGCUUCCCUGGUGGCUCCGUGGUAGAGAGUCUGCCUGUGCCUGCAGGAGAAAUGGGUUCUAUCCCUGAUCUGGGAAGAUCCCACAUGCUGCGGGACAACUAAGCCCGUGCGCCACAACUAUUAAGCCUGUGUUCCAGAGCCUGGGAGCUGCAGCUACUGGAGCCCAUGGGCCUAGAGCCCAUGCUGCACAACAGGAGAAGCCACCACAACAAGACGGCAUCUGGAGAGGGGCCCCGACUGGCCACAACUAGAGAAAAGCCUGCAACAAAGACCACACAGUCAAGAAUAAAUAAAUAAAAUUACUUUAAAAAAUUAAGGGGGGGGGGGGGGGGGGGGGGGGGGGGGGGGGGGGAGUCAAAUCUCAGAUACCGGGUCUUACCAGUAAAGAAUGUAACUCAUACAAAGGGCUAUUUGACAGACUUCCGAUUGAUGGCUGAGACAUGGUUACAUGGUGUUUUUAAACGUAACAGGACCUGAAGAAGAAGCCAGGGAAAUUGUUGGAGAAAUUUUAUUCUUGGGUUUAGAUGCCCUCUGAAACGAUGUUGGUGGGUUGAAUAAUAGUCCCUCAGAUAAGUGCAUGUUCUAAUCUCUGAAACCUGUGAAUAUUACCUUAGUUGGCAAAAGGGACUUUGUAGUUGUGAUCAAGCUAAAAAUCUUGCGAUGGGGAGGUUCUCCUGGAUUAUUUAUGUAGACCUGGUACAAUCAGCAUGCAGAAAGAGCCAGGGUCAGAAGAGCAGGUGGUGUAAUGAGGGAAGCAGUAACUGGAGUCUGUGCCCUGGAGAUGGAGGAAGGGGCCACAAGCCAAGGAGUCCAGGUGACAACUAGAGGCUAAAAAGGGCAAGGAAAGAGAUGUCCCUCUUGCAGCGUCCUCGAGCACCCAGCCCUGCAGAUAACUGGAUUUUAGUGGGAGAAGACUGAUUUCAGACUUCUGACCUCCUGAAUGUAAGAGAAUAAAUUUGUGUUAUUUUAAAGUCACUAUGAUGAAAUUAAAAGACGCUUACUCCUUGGAAGAAAAGUUAUGACCAACCUAGAUAGCAUAUUCAAAAGCAGAGACUUUACUUUGCCAACAAAGGUCCGUCUAGUCAAGGCUAUGGUUUUUUCCAGUGGUCAUGUAUGGAUGUGAGAGUUGGACUGUGAAGAAAGCUGAGCGCCAAAGAAUUGAUGCUUUUGAACUGUGGUGUUAGAGAAGACUCUUGAGAGUUCCUUGGACUGCAAGGAGGUCCAAUCAAUCCAUUCUAAAGGAGAUCAGUCCUGGGUGUUCUUUGGAAGGAAUGAUGCUAAAACUGAAACUCCAAUACUUUGGCCACCUCAUGAGAAGAGUUGACUCAUUGGAAAAGACCCUGAUGCUGGGAGGGAUUAGGGGCAGGAGGAGAAGGGGACGACAGAGGAUGAGAUGGCUGGAUGGCAUCACUGACUUGAUGGACGUGAGUUUGAGUGAACUCCGGGAGUUGGUGAUGGACAGGAAGGCCUGGUGUGCUGCGAUUCAUGGGGUCGCAAAGAGUCAGACACAACUGAGAGACUGAACUGAACUGAUCUGAGCUGAAGUCUAUGGUAACUUGUUACAGCAGCAGUAGGAAGCUAACACAGGUGUCAGCCGUCAACCCUGCAUCUGCGACUAAUUUUAUAAUGAGUAGUUUGUUUAGUGUCUAACCUACCAAUGGAGGACUUACCAGUACAAAAGUUUCAUGCGGCACUACAGUGACUUUCUACAGAACCCUAAUGGUUUGUCUUGAAGUAGGAGGGGACUGAAGAAGGGGGACUUUCCACAUGACCAGUUUGCAAAGUCAUUCUGCAUUCCAGUUCCUUGUGGAAAUGCAUCUGAGAUUUGGUUUCAAUAGCCAAGACACCUUCCACUUUC